CAGAUGUGUCUGCAGGGACGCCUUCAACAACUCCUACCUUGGAUGCUGCACUCAAGCCCAGCUCACAUCACAGGGGUCCUCCACCAGAAGAGAUCAAAGACAUGGCAGGCAAGAAGUUCCAGAAUCCAUUAGAAAUUACGUGGCAAAUGCUGAAGGAAGUGCUGCAGGGAGGACAAGUGGAUGGAGAGGCUGCACGGAAG